AUUGAACGCUGGCGGCAGGCCUAACACAUGCAAGUCGAGCGGAUGAAGGGAGCUUGCUCCUGGUUUCAGCGGCGGACGGGUGAGUAAUGCCUAGGAAUCUGCCUGGUAGUGGGGGAUAACGUCCGGAAACGGGCGCUAAUACCGCAUACGUCCUGAGGGAGAAAGUGGGGGAUCUUCGGACCUCACGCUCUCAGAUGAACCUAGGCCGGAUUAGCUAGUUGGUGGGGUAAAGGCCUACCAAGGCGACGAUCCGUAACUGGUCUGAGAGGAUGAUCAGUCACACUGGAACUGAGACACGGUCCAGACUCCUACGGGAGGCAGCAGUGGGGAAUAUUGGACAAUGGCGAAAGCCUGAUCCAGCCAUGCCGCGUGUGUGAAGAAGGUCUUCGGAUUGUAAAGCACUUUAAGUUGGGAGGAAGGGCAGUAAGUUAAUACCUUGCUGUUUUGACGUUACCAACAGAAUAAGCACCGGCUAACUUCGUG
rnacentral:rRNA from 1 species